UAAAAAAGUGAGAUUAUUAAAUGUUUUCUGCCAAAGAAGAUUUAUUUGAAGCCAAAGAAGAUUUAUAUGAAGCCAAAGAAGAUUUAUAUGACACGUUUUUAUUUGCUCUUUCACGAUUAAAGAACUAUUCAGAAUCAAACUAAGAAAUUAUUAUAAAGAACAAGUUAUUAGGCGACGUUACCACUUAAAGUGCUAAACAACUCUUAAAGAUUUGGCUAAGGCAGUCCUGUGACCGUGAAGGAGAUAAAAAUGAUUCCA
rnacentral:lncRNA from 1 species